CUCGCUGACUUCUUCUUCUUCCUCACGGGAGGCGGGCUGGGCCAAGGAGAGAGAAGGAACGAGAGAAAAGAGGAGGGGCACACAAGAUGUUCCGGCAGGGAAGAGGUCUGCGGUGGACUCCAGCCUGUGUAUCUCUGACAUCUUGUUCCUCGGACUUUUGCUCACCAUAGAAAUCACCUCCUCUGUAUCCUGGGAGGGAUGAACAAACAUCAAAUGCUACAGAAAUCAGAGAUCAGGGUACGCAGCAGUAUAUCAACACUUCCUCAUGGUGAUGGUUACCUGUUGGGCUCAAGAUGACUGUGGCGUUGGAGUAUGUAGAGGUGGGACGUGACCCUUGAGAAAGGGUAAGAAUCAGUGACACAUUGAC